rnacentral:rRNA from 1 species
AACGAACGCUGGCGGCAGGCUUAACACAUGCAAGUCGAACGCAUCGCAAGAUGAGUGGCAGGCGGGUGAGUAAAGCGUGGGAAAAUACCCUUUUCUACGGAAUUGAGCUGGGAAACUGGAAUUAAUACCGUAUAUGAUAUACGGGGGAAAGAUUGAUCGGGGAAGGAGGGGCGCGAGACGGAUCACAUAGUUGGUGGCGUAAAGGCGUACCAAGGCGACGAUCCAUAGCUGGUCUGAGAGGAUGAGCAGCCACAUUGGGACUGAGAGACGGCCCAAACUCCUACGGGAGGCAGCAGUGGGUGAUAUAGGACAAUGGGCGCAAGCCUGAUCCAGCCAGGCCUGGUGAGUGAUGAAGGCCUUAGAGUUGUAAAGCUCUUUCACCGAUGAAGAUAAUGACGGUAGUCGGAGAAGAAGCCCCGGCUAACUUCGUGCCAGCCGCCGCGGUAA